GCCUGGUCCCUGUGAACUGAUUGGUCUUUACAACUAAUUGAUCACAACCAGUUACAGAUUUAUUUGUUCCUUCUCCCUUCCCACUGCUUCACUUGACUAACCUUAA
ensembl:misc_RNA Y_RNA Y RNA